AUUGAACGCUGGCGGCAUGCCUUACACAUGCAAGUCGAACGGCAGCACGGGUGCUUGCACCUGGUGGCGAGUGGCGAACGGGUGAGUAAUACAUCGGAACAUGUCCUGUAGUGGGGGAUAGCCCGGCGAAAGCCGGAUUAAUACCGCAUACGAUCUACGGAUGAAAGCGGGGGACCUUCGGGCCUCGCGCUAUAGGGUUGGCUGAUGGCUGAUUAGCUAGUUGGUGGGGUAAAGGCCUACCAAGGCGACGAUCAGUAGCUGGUCUGAGAGGACGACCAGCCACACUGGGACUGAGACACGGCCCAGACUCCUACGGGAGGCAGCAGUGGGGAAUUUUGGACAAUGAGCGAAAGCCUGAUCCAGCAAUGCCGCGUGAGUGAAGAAGGCCUUCGGGUUGUAAAGCACUUUUGUCCGGAAAGAAAUCCUUGGCCCUAAUACGGUCGGGGGAUGACGGUACCGGAAGAAUAAGCACCGGCUAACUACGUG
rnacentral:rRNA from 1 species